rnacentral:lncRNA from 1 species
UAAGAAGGUGUGUUUGACAGAACUGCAUUUCAACAAGUCUCUUUUCCUUGGACUCCAGUCACUGUUUUUAUAGAGCUUAUUGUUCUGUUGAACCAUGUUUUCUUUGCAGCUUGUACUUCAUUCAAUGCCAGACCCAAAUGGUGUUCCAAAUCCUGUAUUUUACAUUCUGCUUCCACAAGCUGCAGUUUGGUCUGGGCCAGCUCAAGUUCCAUCUCCCUCAGCUGGUUUUUCAGUGUUUCCUUCUCCUCAUCUGUGUCAUCAUCUGAACCAUCCUUGGCUGAGCUUGCAACCUUCACAUGGCCUUCUUUAUUGAAGAACUCCCGACAGUGUUCACAGUCAUCCACUUUUUGCCGUAUUUUCUCAAUUUCAGCUUUAUUUGCUGUUUGUUGCUUUUCCAGUCGCUCACUCAGCUGGGAACAAAUCUGUUUGUAGUCACCGAUUAUAGAGCUGUUCUUUUUGAUCUCUGACUCAGCUUUAUCUAGUUCCCUGCGACACAUUUCCUUCAGCUGAGCUGAUUCUUCUUCCAGGCGCCUCUUUUCUUCUUCUGCAUCAAUCAACUUCUGCUUGGUCAUCAGCAGUUCCUUAUUCAGAGCAUCUGCCUUUUCCUCUGCAUUGUCUAAAUCUUUCCGCAG